ensembl:snoRNA
GGGGUGUGCUCAAAGCAGGCGGCUUCUCUAUUUACAACACACCCAACAGGAAUCCAGGGUCAUUGUGACCAGGGACACAAAACUUAUGACUUCCUUUUGAGCAAACAUCCUACACAU